CCCAGUCGAGCGGCGAACGGGUGAGUAACGCGUGGAUGACCUACCUUGGGGUGGGGGAUAACUCGGGGAAACUCGAGCUAAUACCGCAUACGAUCGUGAGAUCAAAGGGGCGCAAGUCCCGCCAUGAGAGGGGUCCGCGUACGAUUAGCUAGUUGGUAGGGUAAUGGCCUACCAAGGCGACGAUCGUUAGCCGGCCUGAGAGGGUGAUCGGCCACACUGGAACUGAGACACGGUCCAG
rnacentral:rRNA from 1 species